UACAGAGGUCUCAAGCGUUGUUCGGAUUCAUUGGGCGUAAAGGGUGCGUAGGCGGCGCGGUAAGUCGGGCGUGAAAUCUCGGAGCUUAACUCCGAAACUGCAUUCGAUACUGGCGUGCUUGAGGACUGGAGAGGAGACUGGAAUUUACGGUGUAGCGGUGAAAUGCGUAGAUAUCGGAAGGAAGACCAGUGGCGAAGGCGGGUCUCUGGACAGUUCCUGACGCUGAGGCACGAAGGUCAGGGGAGCAAACGGG
rnacentral:rRNA from 1 species